UCUUGACAUACAUUCAACCUUUUUAUAGCCUUUUACUCUCUCACCAGAUGUGGUCCAUCUCUUCACACUGCAAUGGGCCUCAUGUGAUUAAGUCAGUUUCUUAAACACCUCUUGGUCCAUCAAAAAACUAUAUUUUAAAAAUUGCUUUCCAAAGGAGACCACGUCUGCAGAAAACUUUUGGAUGCAACACAGCUGGUUCGCUUCAGGGGACACAUUCUCAGAAAUGGCUGGAUGAUUUCUGUGUGGGCUGGUUCCAGGAGAGCCCCAGUGAGGUGCUCCCUGGAUCAUCAACAUUAACAAGCUCCCUUUGCAGUUUCUGGAGUUACAAAUGCAUUUCAACAAUGAUCAAGUCAUGCUGCAACAGGCACAGAGAACAAAUAACUGCAAGAAGAAAUUGCUGAACUUGGGUCUGAAAUCCCAGCAUUAACAAAAAAGGUGAGAUCAAUAAUGUUCAAAUGGGCGAGCUGAUGACAAAUUUGAGAUAACUCCAUUGUGGAUUUCAUACCUGCUGUUUUAUCCUCAUUCUUCACAGAACACAUGACAAGUUGGUAUUAUGAAAAUCAUUAUAAAACAAUUACUUGCCAUUUCUAAUUAUGUAAUAUUUGGAAAAUGUCCAGAUGUAAAUGUGUCAUGCUUCUUUUUUUAACUUUUGGGCUGUAAAAUAAUUAAGAAAGAUGAAAUUGAAUUAAUGUAAUAAAACACUAUUUGACA
rnacentral:lncRNA from 1 species